GGCCCGGCCGGGGGAGAGCGCGGGAUCCGCGCUGCCCCAGGCGGCAGCAGGAGGCAUAGACCCUGCGCUUCGCUCUUUGCCACUGCUAAUGUAUGUGGGGAACUAACCUAGUAAAGGAGGGAGGCGGCUCUGUAAAGGAAAAACUUUCGCACGCAACCAACAAACCCUUUAGGCAGGUUCGAUGGAAGGUGGUAAUAUUUUAAGUCUACCUUAGUAAACCAUUUCUAAAAACAGGAAAAAAAAUUCAACUACACUCCUUUCUUCAGUCAGUCAGUCAAGAAGCAAAGUGGCUGCAUAUAGAUGUUGAACAGGACCAGAGAAUUUAUCCUUGCCUGAUUCCAAAAGUGAGAAAUUUAGUAGUGGAGGUGCAGUUUCCCAUCACUACUCGUUGAGUGUACCCCUCCAGGAGGAAGCUGUGUUGAAGAUGAUGAAAGGAAUAUGUCUGAACAUGCAGGAUCUUCAGGAGAAUCCAUCCUCAACAUACAGGAUUCUGAAGACUAUCCACCUUCAAGAUCACCAUCAUUUUCUAUAGUUUCAGAGUUAUCUGCCACUGAUAAUGUUUCAGACACAACAUGUAUAUCACAUAGCCACAGUAUAUCACCUGUAGCAAAAAGAAAGACAAAAAUCUCCAUCAUCCAGAAACAACCAUAGAUAAGUUUGUGAUAAGAACCAGCAGACUCCAAAAAGAGGUAAUUGAUGAAAAAACUGCCCGGUUUGUUUAUGCAACAAACUCUCCUUUCCGCACAAUUGAGAACCCACACGUCAUUAACAUGGCUCAGUGAUUAAGACCAGGAUACAGUCCACCUAGCAGAGCAGAUGUA